GCAAAGAACUGCGAUUCCUCAAUGCGACGACACCCUACCGGCAGGAAUAAUCACGAUGACCACUGUGUGGGUGACGGGGCCUGGGUAAGGCAAGUAAUUUCGAGCCCAGAAGGAAAGGUAAAAAGCCUUUCAAUGACCCGGAUUCUGAAAGCCAGACACACCGGCAGCCUGGCAGUCGGCCCUCUUGCCCCACAGCCCUGCUCUCCCGGCCUGGCCAUGGGGCUUUUGUUCUCUCAACGUGCCGUGUGCUCUGCUCCUGGCACAGGGCCUUGGCACAUCGUGACUGCUGUGGAACACGAGGACCCUCUCUCCCCUGAGCCUGGUGAGGGCACAUUCAUCCUCUCCAUCCCAGCACAGCCACCAUCCUUCCUCUGCAUCUCAGCACACCCACCCCUCCUUCCUCCAAACACCUUACUGGAGUUUUGGAGUUUGUUUUUUUUUUUUUGAGAUGGAGUUACUGUGUCACCCAGGCUGUAGUGCAGUGGCGCGAUCUCGGCUCACUGCAACCUCCUCCUUCCGGGUUCAAGUGAUUCUCCUGCCUCAGCCUCCUGAGGCCCAGCUAAUUUUUUUUUUUUUUGAGAUGGAGUCUUGCUCUGUCGCCAGGCUGGAGUGCAGUGGCGCGAUCUCCACUCACUGCAACCUCUGCCUCCCGGGUUCAAACAAUUUUCCUGCCUCAGCCUCCCAAGUAGCUGGGACUACAGGUGUGCACCACCACGCCCGGCUAAUUUUUUUGUAUUUUAGUAGAGACGGGUUUUCAGCACGUUGGCCAGGCUGGUCUCGAUCUCUUGACCUUGUGAUUUGCCCACCUUGGCCUCUCAAACUGCUGGAAUUACAGGCAUGAGUCACCACGCCCAGACGGCUAAAUUUUGUAUUUUUAGUUGAGACAGGGUUUCGCCAUGUUGGCCAGGUUGGUGCAGUUUUGAUUUUAUAUUUAUUUCUAGAUUCUAAAAUUAAUGUGUUUUCCCCACUUCACUGCACACCUGCUUCCACUGUGUCACUCGCACCUGCCACAGAGGCUGACACACAAGCGCUCGUACAUUCGAUGGAGAUGGGAAAGAACGUGGCCUGCAAACACAGAGCUGUGACCCCCAAAUAACACUGUUCCUCUCCUCCUCUCCCCUUCCUGUGAGGGGAAAGACCCACUUAACCCUGCACCCCAUCUCUCAGCAUCUGGGUCUGAAGGAGGCAGCCAGUCCCUGUGAGCCCCAAAGCCCUGACCUCAGAGCUGCAGGAGAGAGCUGGGAGCUGCGAGCUGGGAGGUGGGAGCUGGGAGGUGGGAACUGGGAGGAGGGAGGCAGGGGCCGGAAGGUGGGAGCUGGGAGGAGGGAGGCGGGAGGUGGCAGGUGGGAGGUGAGAGGAGGGAGGUGGGAGGUGGGAGGUGGGAGGAGGGAGCUAGGAGCUGGGAGCUGGGAGGUGGCAACUAGGAUGAGGGAGGUGGGAGCUGGGAGGUGGGAACUGAGAGGAAGGAGGUGGGAGCUGGGAGGUGGGAGGUGGGAGAUGGGAGGAGGGAGGCAGCAGAUGGGAGGUGGGAGGCAGGAGCUGGAAGGUGGGAGGUGGGAGGUGGGAGCUGGGAACUGGGAGGAGGGAGGCAGGAGCUGGGAGGUGGGAGGCGGGAGCUCGGAGGUGGGAGAUGGGAGCUAGGAGGUGGGAACUGGGAGCUGGGAGGUGGGAACUGGGAGCUGGGAGGUGGGAACUGGAAGGAGGGAGCUGGGAGGAGGGAGGUUGGAGUUGGGAGGUGGGAACUGGGAGGUGGGAGCUGGGAGCUGGGAGCUGGGAGGAGGGAGGUGGGAGCUGGGAGGUGGGAACUGGGAGCUGGGAGGAGGGAGGAGGGAGGUUGGAGUUGGGAGGUGGGAACUGGGAGGUGGGAGCUGGGAGCUGGGAGGAGGGAGGAGGGAGGUGGGAGCUGGGAGGUGGGAACUGGAAGGAGGGAGGUACCUCUCUGGCCUGACGUAGGAGUAGAUUGUGUCCGAAGGAGGCAGAGGGUCAAACCCCAUCACAGACUGCGUGGUCACGUCCUUCAGAAAGGGACAUAAAACGAAGAUGCUACGGAUGCUGCCAGGGGGCCUCUGCCUCUCCCAGCAGAGUCCUUCAGUCGACUCCAGCGUGGACUGGAUGCAUCUGCUGAGAGAUAGCCACAGAGUCUGACAGAAACAGCUGUGCUUUUUGUACCAACGAGCUUUGGGUGCGGGUGGGAUGGUCCUUCUGCCACCAGGACACUCACGGGAGUCGAGGUGAACCUGCGCGGCAUCUGCCCUGCACACCAGAGUGUGUGGUGGGGAAGGAAGGGGGUCACGUGCCGCUCACGCCUGCCAACAUCUUCACCACGUGUCAGAAGCUCCCACUUCAGCGAAUGCAGGCUACAGGGACCCCAAGCUGCCCUCGGGUUGCACAGUGCCACGUGCUGCCGCUCUACUGAGGAGAGUCAGAAGCUCACAGCCCCAGACAAAGCCAGCCGUGCCGGUCAUAAGGGCCCGCAGAGCAGCUGAAGUUAAACCAGGAGGCACUAAGCUGUCCCCAGCGGACGGUCCAUGGUCCUGCAACCCUCUGACUUGCUGGUUUUCUCACUCGUUCUAUGUUAUCUCUUAACAACAGUAUAAAAUCCUUAGGUUUUGAGACAAAAACAGCACCUCCAGCACCGGAGGCGUCAGAGCAGGACUACACCCCACGACUACAGAGAAUCCCCUAGCAGCUGCACCACGCGCUCACAAGACCACAGAUGGAGCAGCUCACCACAGUGAAUACUCAGCUUGUGCUCUGAGCCCCAAAGGAUUUCUCUCUCAAAACAACAAGCAUCCGGACCCUGGCUGCCAGGAAAGGAGGAGCCCUCUGCACUAGCCCCUGCUGCUGCCGUGGCAGGGCUGGGCUGGUGAGGGAGCCUGCACCACACACUCCUGCAUGUGGACCGCCCGGAGCAGAAGGGACGUGCAUGUGACCGGCUUACACAGAGCUCCCAUUUCAGCCUUUCUCCCUUACCGGGGGCAGGGCAGCAACGGCUUCCUUGAUCUCAGAGAGGAUCACAUGGCGGUGGAUAUUCCUGGGUGCACGCUGGUAGAGUACCUUCCGCCUAGGGCCGGGGAGAAACAAGGUAUAGUAGAUAAAGCACAGCAAAUGAAAUGGUAACCGCCGUGGCACCGCGGCCCCCACCCCCACCCAGCACGAGGUAUCUUGCUGCAUCUCUGGUGGCUCCAAAAACUACACUUUACUCCCGAGCAGAGGCAGCGUGGCUGGUCCCUGGCCUGCGGCUGGGGAGCCUCUGGGGACCACUCCCAGCCACAUGGCCUGUGACUCAGCCUCUUCAUCCAAAGAACAGGAACGAUGGGAGCCGUGGCCAGUGGCUUCUUGUGGGAAUUCACUGAAUUCAUCUACAUGAAGGGACACCUGGGUGUGUCACCGCUGUCACUGCUAUGGCUGCAGGCACAGGCACUGGUCCCUGCUGGAAAUCGCUCUCGGAGAGCAGCACAGGGAACAAAAUGCUCCUGUCCAUGAGAAAUGUCCAGUCCAGUGGGGACAGCAGACACGCAGACGGGCCCAUGACUGCCAGCGGCUGGGGGCACCAACACCUCUUGGGCGCCCCCGGGCACACCUCACAUCCGCGGCACACAGACUUCACUGUGGAGAUGCAAAUGGACACCACUCCCACGCAGUCCUCACUGAGCCUGGCCACACUGCUGCACAGAGCCACAGUGCUGACGCACAGAAGUAGCACAGGGCCAAGGGCACAGGCAAACGAGACAAGAACAGCAAGGGGCUGCCUGUCGGAUGCAGCGUAUGAGGGCAUGAGCCUCCAAAGUGUUCACACGCAGGAUAGGAGACUCUUUCUCAUCUCUGCCAGGAGAUUUCUUUACUCCCAAGAUGCUGCUGUGAGAGACUCGUCAUCAUUUCAGCUCAUGUGGAAACACCGCAAGACCAGAAGCCACCACUCCAGCCCGAGGCACCCGGGAACAGCAGCUCGGGACCCUGUGCUGAUGACCACAGCUGCCUCCCAGGAAGCCUCUGGGACAGGCCAGGGGCUGUGCGCUGUCUUGUAGGCUCCACGCAGGCCCCACAGCAACGGAGGCCAAGCUGCUCACAGCCCUUCUUGCCUCCCGAAUGCCAGGCCCCCAUGUCUGGGAUGAGGGUCCCUGAUGAGGGGGCGUGGCAGGGCUUGUGUCAACCCCUAGCUCACCGGUUCUCACAGGCUUCCACGGCUGGGUCCCCAGCGUCCACUGCCUGCAGAACCUCGUGGACGUUCUCCUCCAG